rnacentral:tRNA from 1 species
UGACCUAUGGUGUAAUGGUAGCACAACGGUUUUUGGUACCGUUAGUUUAGGUUCGAGUCCUGGUAGGUCAG